rnacentral:rRNA from 1 species
UACAGAGGUCUCAAGCGUUGUUCGGAUUUAUUGGGCGUAAAGGGCGCGUAGGCGGCGGGGUAAGUCGGGUGUGAAAUCUCAGGGCUCAACCCUGAAACUGCACUUGAUACUGCUCUGCUUGAGGACUGGAGAGGAGACUGGAAUUCACGGUGUAGCAGUGAAAUGCGUAGAUAUCGUGAGGAACACCUGCGGCGAAGGCGGGAUUGCUGGGCCGAC